rnacentral:rRNA from 1 species
CCUACGGGGGGCUGCAGUAAGGAAUAUUGGUCAAUGGAGGAAACUCUGAACCAGCCAUCCCGCGUGAAGGAUGAAGGGGCUCUGCCUUGUAAACUUCUUUUGUCUGGGGCGAAAAAGCUCGAUUUAUCGAGAACUGACGGUACCAGAAGAAUAAGCACCGGCUAACUCCGUGCCAGCAGCCGCGGUAAUACGGAGGGUGCCGGAGUUAUCGGGAAUCACUGGGGUGUAGGGGUCCGUGUAAGGCAGUGGAGAAAGGCUGUGGCUUAACCAUGGAAUUGCCAUUGAUACUGCAGAGCUUGAGUGAGGUUGAGGUUAGCGGAAUGUGACAUGUAGCGGUGAAAUGCUUAGAUAUGUCAUGGAACACCGAUUGCGAAGGCAGCUGACUGGACCUAUAUUGACGCUGAGGCACGAAAGCGUGGGGAGCGAACAGGAUUAGAUACCCCUGUAGUC